UACGGAGGAUGCAAGCGUUAUCCGGAUUUAUUGGGUUUAAAGGGUGCGUAGGCGGACGAAUAAGUCAGUGGUGAAAACCUGCAGCUUAACUGUAGACUUGCCGUUGAUACUGUUUGUCUUGAGUGUGGUCAAGGUAGGCGGAAUGUGUAAUGUAGCGGUGAAAUGCUUAGAUAUUACACAGAACACCGAUUGCGAAGGCAGCUUGCUGGGCCAUUACUGACGCUGAUGCACGAAAGCGUGGGGAUCGAACAGG
rnacentral:rRNA from 1 species